CCAAUAAUACAAUAUCUCAACUUUGAGGCUUUCAUGUUACCCAACAAACAUUUCAGGUGGUUGUUCUGUUCCAGCAGUCAGAUGAUGUUCACUUUCAUUGUGGUUGUUUAGUCGGAGGAAACUGUGAAUAUUGAUACUGGUUGCCUCCAUUUCUUACUUCAUUCAUUUUCACUUUGGGGACCCACCGCGGCGCUGUUUUGGAUAAAGUUUUAUUUUGGAAGAAACCGCCACAACCUCAACAUCUCGCUUGAUGAAACUAUAUCCAGUCGGCUGGAAAGGAAAGUGAUUCCGACAAUUGUAGGAGCUACAUUUGAAAGAAACCCCGUCGGUUGAAGAGAAGUACUCUUCGAUAUUUUUCAGCAUAAUUAUGUCUAUCAAAUUUAUGAUUUUUGCUUCGCUGAUGGUGAUUGGCGUUUUCUCCGAUCCUGAGCCCAGCAACUACAAAGCUCCUCCUCCCUACGGUGCCCAGCCAAAGUACGUCGAAAUUCCGAACUGCGCCAAAAACACAACCAAGUCCUGGUGCCUGGAAGACUCUGAGUAUCCUCAACACGAAGUGCAACAAGCCCUGGACCAACACUACCAGGCCGUCGUGGCUUUCUACAAGGACAAACUGGCCAACACUGAGAACUCUGUCGACGGACUGGAUAAAUUGAGCGACGAGGUUUACCUUUGCCCGAGUUCCACCGACUACGUCCGUCCUUUCCGGGCCAUCAACGUCGACGGCAAGUGGCGGACCAUCGUCAACGGCGUCGAGUCUUACGGCGUCAAGUACACGCAAACUGCUCGAAUUGAAGAAUGCGACGUGGUCGUGGGAACCACUUGCCCCUUGGUCCCGUCCUGCUACGAUUCCAAAUGCGUUCAGAAAAAUAUUUUCCAUCGCUUCUUGGUCUACAACCCACUAGACUACGCUUUCCCUUUCGCAAUUGAAAAAUUCAAGUUGCCUGGAUCGUGCGGAUGCGUCGUUGGAGCUUUUCACCUAUAAAGUAUAAACACAACUAGAAAUAAGCAACGGUUGUCUUUCUCUGCUUCUCGACUGCCUCAGCUAUUAUUGUUUCAAGCACUCAACCCGUUCCGUUUUGUAACCCAAAAGCUCCACCUCCGUGCAUCGACAAAAAGUUUGGCUUUUGCAUAAACGACUAUGACUAUCCGAUGGACGACAUUCAGACGACCAUUGAUGAAUCUGAAUCAGUUAAGAAGUUUAUCAACAAAACAAUUACGAACAGAAGGCGAGCAAUCAAGAAAAAAGAUACUGGCUGUCAAACUACAAAUCUUCUCGUCAAACCACUGCGAUUGCGCAACAUUGACAGAGAUUGGCUAGUUAUCGUUCAAGAUACCAAUGAUAUAUUUCAGCGGGAAGAAAUUGCUAUCUGUUCUCAUCCAAAUGUUCCAUGUCGACACAACAUAUCAUCCCGUUCCGCGUAUUGUCAUCAAAAGUAUUCUACCCGAAAACUGCUAGCCUUCGACCCGUGCAAUCCGGUUCGUGGUGUCUAUGUCGAGUCUUUCAAAUUACAAUCGGCAUGCGAUUGUCGCCUUUAAUUCAUUUUAAUAAAGUUUUCUAGUAAUUUGCCGGGAUUACAGUUAUUAAUUUUCUUUUUUUAAAUAUGUGAGCAUAUGUAGAAUCCCGAGUAUCGGUAAAAUUUAAAAAUACAAAAGCCUAACCAUGA